ensembl:snRNA U6 U6 spliceosomal RNA
GUGCUUUUUGGCAGCAUACAUACUAAACCUUGAAUGACACAGAGAAUAUUACCAUGGUCCUUGUGCAAUAAUUGGUGAAUUAUUCAUAUUUCCA